rnacentral:pre_miRNA from 1 species
AGACUUCUGUAUCCGUGCUGUGAUUUCGUCACACACCAGACCACAAGGGUUGAUGAGACUUCCAGUUGAUAUUAAUUA